CCUACGGGAGGCAGCAGUGGGGAAUAUUGCACAAUGGGGGAAACCCUGAUGCAGCGACGCCGCGUGUGUGAAGAAGGCCUUCGGUAUGUAAAGCACUUUCAGCAGGGAAGAAAAUGACGGUACCUGUAGAAUUAGCCACGGCUAAUUACGUGCCAGCAGCCGCGGUAAUACGUCGGGGGCAAGGGUUAUCCGGAUUGACUGGGUGUAAAGGGCGCGUAGAUGGCAGUGCAAGACUGAUGUGAAAGGCGGGGGCUCAACCCGGGGUCUGCACUGGAAACUGGCUGGCUGGAGUGCAGGAGAGGUAGGUGGAAUUCCUAGUGUAGCGGUGAAAUGCGUAGAUAUGAGGAGGAACACCGGUGGCGAAGGCAGCUUACUGGACUGUAACUGACGCUGAGGCUCGAAAGCGUGGGGAGCAAACAGGAUUAGAUACCCGAGUAGUC
rnacentral:rRNA from 1 species